CCUACGGGUGGCAGCAGUGAGGAAUAUUGGUCAAUGGGCGCGAGCCUGAACCAGCCAAGUCGCGUGAGGGAAGACGGCCCUAUGGGUUGUAAACCUCUUUUGCCGGGGAGCAACCGGCGCCACGUGUGGCGCCACUGAGAGUAACCGAAGAAAAGGCAUCGGCUAACUCCUUGCCAGCAGCCGCGGUAAUACGGAGGAUGCGAGCGUUAUCCGGAUUUAUUGGGUUUAAAGGGUGCGUAGGGGGAGCGUUAAGUCGGUGGUAAAAUUGAGGGGCUAAACCCCGUCCAGCCAUUGACACUGGUGAUCUUGAGUGGAAGAGAGGUAUGCGGAAUGCGUGGUGUAGCGGUGAAAUGCAUAGAUAUCACGCAGAACCCCGAUUGCGAAGGCAGCAUGCCGGCUUCCGACUGACGCUGAAGCACGAAAGCGUGGGGAUCGAACAGGAUUAGAUACCCUGGUAGUC
rnacentral:rRNA from 1 species